GCGCUUGUAGCUCAGCUGGAUAGAGUGACUGGCUACGAACCAGUAGGUCGGGGGUUCGAGUCCCUCCAAGCGCG
rfam:Clostridium sp. CAG:242 genomic scaffold, scf157